AUGAACGCUAGCUACAGGCUUAACACAUGCAAGUCGAGGGGCAGCAUGGUCUUAGCUUGCUAAGGCCGAUGGCGACCGGCGCACGGGUGAGUAACACGUAUCCAACCUGCCGUCUACUCUUGGACAGCCUUCUGAAAGGAAGAUUAAUACAAGAUGGCAUCAUGAGUCCGCAUGUUCACAUGAUUAAAGGUAUUCCGGUAGACGAUGGGGAUGCGUUCCAUUAGAUAGUAGGCGGGGUAACGGCCCACCUAGUCUUCGAUGGAUAGGGGUUCUGAGAGGAAGGUCCCCCACAUUGGAACUGAGACACGGUCCAAACUCCUACGGGAGGCAGCAGUGAGGAAUAUUGGUCAAUGGGCGAGAGCCUGAACCAGCCAAGUAGCAUGAAGGAUGACUGCCCUAUGGGUUGUAAACUUCUUUUAUAAAGGAAUAAAGUCGGGUAUGGAUACCCGUUUGCAUGUACUUUAUGAAUAAGGAUCGGCUAACUCCGUGCCAGCAGCCGCGGUAAUACGGAGGAUCCGAGCGUUAUCCGGAUUUAUUGGGUUUAAAGGGAGCGUAGAUGGAUGUUUAAGUCAGUUGUGAAAGUUUGCGGCUCAACCGUAAAAUUGCAGUUGAUACUGGAUAUCUUGAGUGCAGUUGAGGCAGGCGGAAUUCGUGGUGUAGCGGUGAAAUGCUUAGAUAUCACGAAGAACUCCGAUUGCGAAGGCAGCCUGCUAAGCUGCAACUGACAUUGAGGCUCGAAAGUGUGGGUAUCAAACAGGAUUAGAUACCCUGGUAGUCCACACGGUAAACGAUGAAUACUCGCUGUUUGCGAUAUACAGCAAGCGGCCAAGCGAAAGCGUUAAGUAUUCCACCUGGGGAGUACGCCGGCAACGGUGAAACUCAAAGGAAUUGACGGGGGCCCGCACAAGCGGAGGAACAUGUGGUUUAAUUCGAUGAUACGCGAGGAACCUUACCCGGGCUUAAAUUGCAGAUGAAUUACGGUGAAAGCCGUAAGCCGCAAGGCAUCUGUGAAGGUGCUGCAUGGUUGUCGUCAGCUCGUGCCGUGAGGUGUCGGCUUAAGUGCCAUAACGAGCGCAACCCUUGUUGUCAGUUACUAACAGGUUCCGCUGAGGACUCUGACAAGACUGCCAUCGUAAGAUGUGAGGAAGGUGGGGAUGACGUCAAAUCAGCACGGCCCUUACGUCCGGGGCUACACACGUGUUACAAUGGGGGGUACAGAGGGCCGCUACCACGCGAGUGGAUGCCAAUCCCCAAAACCUCUCUCAGUUCGGACUGGAGUCUGCAACCCGACUCCACGAAGCUGGAUUCGCUAGUAAUCGCGCAUCAGCCACGGCGCGGUGAAUACGUUCCCGGGCCUUGUACACACCGCCCGUCAAGCCAUGGGAGCCGGGGGUACCUGAAGUGCGUAACCGCGAGGAGCGCCCUAGGGUAAAACUGGUGACUGGGGCU
rnacentral:rRNA from 1 species